AUGUUUGGGAUGGUCUAGGGAUGAAACUGCUGGACAGCUGAGCCAUGGAGACUGGGGAGAGAUCUGCCUGGCUGAGACCAAGCCCUGCUGUACCAUCUGCAUUUUACAGUGAGGAUGCCCAUUGACAGGAAGCAAAGAGCAGUGAGUGGUGCAGACGCAGAGAAAAGGAAAAUCAGAAUGAUCGACAGGCUUCAAAUCCUACCUCUAACACUUAACUACGUACCUCACAUUUGGUCUUGGGCAGGCCAGUUAACUCAUCAAGACCCCAUUUUCACCCCCUGAAAAGUGGCAUAGUAACUCAGUUCUAUUGAGUUACUGAGGACUGGCCCCACAAAGAGACAAGCAAUGUAAGUCAUACGCAAGACAAACUGAACCUGCUCUAUCACCAUUCGAUAAUGAUACUUUUAGAGGUAGGAUUAGCUCUCUGUUUCGAAAAAUUGGGUCUUUACCAUUCAUUCCUCCAUUCAACAAUGUUCCAUUGAUUAUGAAGCAGAAUUCAGUGGUAAAUAGCACACAACAGGACUUAUCCUCAAUGGUAAUUGUGGAAGUCAAAGACGUGGAACAUACUUGGAAGGGAGAGGUGGUUUCACUGGGUUAUUAGAAAUGGGGCAGAAAGCAUCUAAACGGAGUUUCACAGAUAGCCUUUUUGAAAUAUCAUUUAAGGUUUUGUUUUAUCUUGGUUUUUGGCAUCAUUGAGAUAUUUUCAUAUAGACCAGGAUAAGCCCCCAACAAAGUGGGUUACAGAAGAUGACCUUGAACUCCUGACAUCCCAAUUUCUACCUCCCGAGCACUGGGAAUGUAGGUGGCCUAGUUGUUUUUAAAGCUGAAUGGAUCUGAAGUUCCUGAACUUGUGUGCAAGCGUUUGACGGAGGCUGAUGAGAGAUUCCUGUCACCGCGUGUGUGCUGAAGUUCUCUGGAACUGGGACCGGUGAUAUUGAUCUGACCCUCUGCAGUGUUCCGAGGGCUUGCUUACCCACUCCAAGUCUGUGAGUCCUAAUGAAGCAGGGCUAAGUCCGCUGAAGACCACCUUUGGGAGAUCCUGGAGUGACUGCUCCCUGAAGAGAGUCCUGGUCCUAGGAAUCUGGGAUUCUACCUGAAGUCCCAAAGAUGAACAAAUGGUAGAGAGAGGCACCUGAGUGAGCCUGCUUCCUAAACGACUUCUCAGAACUGCCUGCAGCUGGGCUGCCUAACAGAAGCUCAAGUUCUGGGAUUCCACUCUUGAAGAAAAAUGAAUCUGCCCUUAACUUAGUGAGCCCUCAGCCUGUAGGUCAGGACAUGUAGUUCUUGCUACCCUGAAACUCACUAUGUACGACAGACUGGCCCCAACACACUGAGAUCUGCCUGGUUCUGUCUCCCUGGUGCUGAGAUCAAAUGCACGCGUAUACUUAGGGUACAGGACUUUUAUUUAUAUGUUAUGGCUCUGGGUUUGUUUUCAUGGGAUUCCUGAUUGUGCCAGCAAUUGGGUCUCUGUGUCUACAUCUGUUUCUUUUGCCUUUUCUUUGACUCCCUUUCUUUUGUUUGUUUCUUUUGCCCUAUUCUGAUGUGUUAGUUUUUGUUUUAUCUUAUUAUAUUUUAUUAUUAUUCAUCAAGUGCCCUUCUGUUUUCUAAAGAGAAACAGAAAGGUGGUGAAUUUGCAUGGGGUGGGAGGCAUAGAAGAACUGGGAGGAGUAAAGGGAGAAGAGAUCAUAAUCAGGAUAUAUUGUAUGAAAAAAACCAGACUAUUUUCAAUAAAACUACAACAAAAAAUGAAGAACGAAAAUAACCAGUCUAUCUUAUCUUCCCAACAUUUGUUUACUUGCUUAGAGGAAGACUAAUCUUGAACUUAUGGCUCUCUCUGCCUAAGCGUCAUGAGUGUGAGUAGCGUGGAAUUGCACCAUAAUGCCACACUCAUCCACUAACUACAAAAAUUAAAACAAUAGAGGUUUGGUCCAAAGCCAGUGAUCUAUGUCCAUUUAAGAAAACAAAAACAGAGAUGAUAUGUUCAGACUAAACGUAACUGAAAAUCCACUGCUACCAUCACUUAUGCAUGAAUGCUAACCCCAACACAGACAGGAAAGAGCUCUGGGGCUUAAGCUAUUUGAAAGAGAUGAACCAGUCUUUAAUGGCUAAAGAAAGAAACAGCAGUUAAAUCAUGAUAAUGUGACAUUCGAAAAGUAGUCAGAACAACUUUAAAAUUGAUCCAAAGAAUGAACCAUUUAGGUAAAAUAUUGAAUCAUUAAAGAAAUACGGCAAUGAUUGAGGGAAUGCACAAUGGACCCAUCUCUCCACCAAUGGUCACAUCAUCUGUCUAUCUAAUGACUAGAGAAUUCAUAGCUCUAAUUCUAAAUAUACAGAGGGAGGAGCCUUGAAGCUAAUCACCCAGACUGGCUUAAA